AGUGAACGCUGGCGGUAGGCCUAACACAUGCAAGUCGAACGGCAGCACAGUAAGAGCUUGCUCUUACGGGUGGCGAGUGGCGGACGGGUGAGGAAUACAUCGGAAUCUACUUUUUCGUGGGGGAUAACGUAGGGAAACUUACGCUAAUACCGCAUACGACCUACGGGGGAAAGCAGGGGAUCUUCGGACCUUGCGCGAUUGAAUGAGCCGAUGUCGGAUUAGCUAGUUGGCGGGGUAAAGGCCCACCAAGGCGACGAUCCGUAGCUGGUCUGAGAGGAUGAUCAGCCACACUGGAACUGAGACACGGUCCAGACUACUACGGGAGGCAGCAGUGGGGAAUAUUGGACAAUGGGCGCAAGCCUGAUCCAGCCAUACCGCGUGGGUGAAGACGGCCUUCGGGUUGUAAAGCCCUUUUGCUGGGAAAGAAAAGCAGCAGGUUAAUACCCCGCUGUUCUGACGGUACCCAAAGAAUAAGCACCGGCUAACUUCGUG
rnacentral:rRNA from 1 species